ACGGCUAUAUCACAUUGAAACACUGGUUCUCCGUACGAUCACCAAAGUUAAGCAACGUCGAGACUGGUCAGUACCUAGAUGAAUGACUGCUUGGGAAGAUCAGAUGC